rnacentral:tRNA from 3 species
ACCGACGUGGUGGAAUUGGUAGACACGCAGGAUUUAGGUUCCUGUGCCUUGCGCGUGAGGGUUCGAGUCCCUUCGUCGGUA